rnacentral:rRNA from 1 species
GACGAACGGCUGGCGGCGUGCCUAACACAUGCAAGUCGAGCGGAGUCGAUCGACGGAAGCCUUCGGGCGGAAGAUGGUUGACUUAGCGGCGGAUGGGUGAGUUAACGCGUGGGCAACCUGCCUCGAAGACCGGGAUAACAGCCCGAAAGGGCUGCUAAUACCGGAUGUGGUCAAGGAUCCGCAUGGAUUUUGAUUAAAGGGGAAACCCGUUUCGAGAUGGGCCCGCGUCCUAUCAGCUAGUUGGUGAGGUAAAAGCUCACCAAGGCGACGACGGGUAGCCGGCCUGAGAGGGUGACCGGCCACACUGGAGCUGAGACACGGUCCAGACUCCUACGGGGGGCAGCAGUGGGGAAUCUUCCACAAUGGGCGAAAGCCUGAUGGAGCGACGCCGCGUGAGCGAAGAAGGCCUUCGGGUUGUAAAGCUCUGUCUGGAGGGACGAAGGAAGUGACGGUACCUCCGGAGGAAGCCACGGCUAACUACGUG